CGGAGAGGGAGCCUGAGAAACGGCUACCACAUCCAAGGAUGGCAGCAGGCGCGCAAAUUACCCAAUCCCGACACGGGGAGGUAGUGACAAUAAAUAACAAUACGGGGUUCUUUAGGAUCUCGUAAUUGGAAUGAGUACAAUUUAAAUCUCUUAACGAGGAACAAUUGGAGGGCAAGUCUGGUGCCAGCAGCCGCGGUAAUUCCAGCUCCAAUAGCGUAUAUUAAAGUUGUUGCAGUUAAAAAGCUCGUAGUUGAAUUUCGGGGUUAGUAGGUUGGUCAUGCCUCUGGUAUGUACUGGUCUCACUGAUUCCUCCUUCCUUAUGAACCGUAAUGCCAUUAAUUUGGUGUUGCGGGGAAUUUGGACUGUUACUUUGAAAAAAUUAGAGUGUUUAAAGCAAGCUAACGCUUGAAUACAUUAGCAUGGAAUAAUGAAAUAGGACGUUCGAUCUUAUUUUGUUGGUUUCUAGGAUUGACGUAAUGAUUAAUAGGGAUAGUUGGGGGCAUUAGUAUUCAAUUGUCAGAGGUGAAAUUCUUGGAUUUAUUGAAGACUAACUACUGCGAAAGCAUUUGCCAAGGAUGUUUUCAUUAAUCAAGAACGAAAGUUAGGGGAUCGAAGACGAUCAGAUACCGUCGUAGUCUUAACCAUAAACUAUGCCGACUAGGGAUCGGAUGAUGUUAAUUUUUUAAUGACUCAUUCGGCGCCUUACGGGAAACCAAA
rnacentral:rRNA from 1 species